UGUGGGGGGCCCGGCGCUAAUUAAUCCCCGCUAACGAGGCGGUAAUUACCCAGGUACAGGAAGAUGAAGGAGCGCCUGGGGCUGACGGAGAUCCGCAAGCAGGCCAACCGCAUGAGCUUCGGAGAGAUCGAGGAGGACGCCUACCAGGAGGACCUGGGCUUCAGCCUGGGCCACCUGGGCAAGGCGGGCAGCGGCCGCGUGCGGCAGACGCAGAUCAACGA